AAUGCACACGGGGGAAGCGUUUGCACGCAGAGACUCUACACGGCGUACGGUAUGCUCAGGUUAGGAACAAAGCAAGCACCGCGGAGACGGAGGUAUGCUUGUGUGACGUGAUUCGUCAAUGGGUGCGCUUAAGUGACGAGUAUCGGGAAAGCGACAAGUUCUGCAAGGAAACGCAACCCUACAAAAGAACUGUACGCCCUGCCUGCAAGUUUCGUUCUUCUUUAGGGACUCCCUGACGUUUCUUCCACGAAUUGCUGUGCUAGUUCGUCGAACUCUGUCUCCGGCAGCGCUCUUAGAGUGUUUGCGGGAACGCAGCUGUCUGCGAUAGUGCUGGACAAACGCGCAGGUGCCAGUAGAGCCAGUGUCCACCGAAAGCUCCGUGUGUCCUCGUAUAGGAAUUCUAGGACUGGCCAAUUGAUUCUGAUAGUGGUUGUCUGGUUCAUGAAGAACGACCGAAUAAAAGCAAGCGGAUCAGUUGCUGACAUUUCGUGAAAAAUGUCCUCAGUUAUAUCGAUUAAUGAAACGAGAUUAUUGUUCAGCAACUGCGUGGGAAUACCAUGCCUCGCGUGUCUAUCCACACCGCUUCGUCCGCUCUAGAUUGCCGAACGUGCCAUACCAGUGACCGGCCUCGGGCAGCAAUCCAAUGCCUUGUCUCUGGGUCACUGGUUCUGCUCAUCGAGAGUGCUCAGCGCCUCAGGGCAGUGCUCAAACCCAGUCCCAGACGAACUGAUCGAAUGUUCGCUCGACCCACAGCCGCUGGACGCCCCGGGAGCACGGAACAUUGCCGGAUGCUGAUCGACAGGUUCAUGUCUCGGUACAGAAAAGUGCUUGCGCGCCUGGUUGCUGGUGCAGUUCCAAGGUGGCAAGCCUCUCGCCUUCGAUUGCCUCGCCAUCUGGCGUUCGGCCAGCAUACCGCACACGGUAUCGUGCAUCCGACGCUGGUCCCGGCUCGUGUGCUCUACCGGUUUCAGCAUGCAUAUGUUCUAGUCAGGCGCGUACGUCGUCAUGAGGGCGUCAGUGAACGACCUUCGAAAUCGAUGCCUGCACUCACUUGAAGCGCUCUUCGACGGGGCACUGGAGCAACCGAUGUUUGCUGGAGGAUGUUCAUCGCGGUGGGCUACCACUCAACGACGCGACUUGCCGGUCGUUCCCUUUCCACAACCGCUGGACUAGGUGCCGAGUGCAAGACUACCGGCCUCCGCACAGACGAAACUGCAGGCUAUCCGAGCACAGCGCCAGACACAUCUGCCGUCGAUUGUCUGUACAGGUCAGUCGCACGCUCGUGUGCUCUCUGAAUGACGCGCAUAAACGCAUCACCGUCUGCACAGUACAAUACGACGCUGAGAGCGUCGCGAUGCGCCCUGAUGCCGUCAUUCCACUUUGUGGUAUGUCGCCUGGCGUCCAUGAUGCCCGGGCCCCGAUGAUGCCGCGCUCUGGAAGAAUCCUGUCGCGGUGCCGAUGGUGUCCCGAGCAGCCGCUGUGCUGCCGCACGAAGGUUUGAUCGAGAACGUCGAGGCGGGUAAGGACAGCUGGCUGCCGUGCGUACGGAACGCGCUCGAACAGCCGCUCGACGAGAUGCGCUCCAGCGAGAGAGACGAGGGAAGCGCGAGCAAGUCGGCACACACGAAGCUUGAGGCCAUCAGCGAAUCUUUUCGUUUGGCCGUUGGUAGGCGACUGAACGGCUGCGUCACCACAAGCACCGGUACUGCCGCCAUUCAAGCUUGUCUCUUGUGUAUGAAGUGCAGCUCGCGUCUCUCUGAAUGCCGAUACAAAGCUGUACCGGUUAUUCCGAGAACAGUCUCAUCCAGUGAGACGAAACCCCGUCCCUGCUGGAACCAGUGUUUGUGUUUCAUGGGGAAGCUUAGCGAGCGAAGCUUAACGGGCGAGAGCUGCAUACGGAAACAUACUUCUUAGUACGAGUUCGUGUCUCUUCAUCAAUGCUCGUCUCAAUAGAGCGGAAACUUCAUAUCCUGUCGCUUCUUUGACAAAACUGGUCAGCAAAAGUAUGCUAUAGAAUGCGUUGUCGAGUGAGUGCGCAGCCGUAUAGACAGCGUUUGCGAGGAUCAGGGUAGGGUGCACGGCAUCCGUUGCACGGACGACGAGGACAGAGGAUUCAUCCGCCUACUGAGCGUAGAGUGACCGACUUGGACCAGUAAUGUCGUUAUCUCGCCAGCUAGCAGCGACAGCACAGAGUCUUUCCAGGACCGCUUCUCAAACCGAAUAACACGUCCCGUUUGCUGAGUACCUGAAAGUAAAAUAGUCUCAGAUAAUGUA